rnacentral:lncRNA from 1 species
CUUGAGUCCCUGGACAUGGAGGCCAUGCUCAGCACUGUGCAGGCCUGGGUGAAGGAUCCACACAAGUUUGCGCGCGCCCCUGGUGGACUUGUACAACCAACGCUACUUCCUGACUGUGCCGUAUGAGGAAUGCAAGCGGAGGAGAAGAAGCCGUACUUACAUGGUCCCUGAUCCUCCUGGCCUCUUUGAUGGUCACGUAUGGCCCAUGUACCAGAAGUAUAAACGGGAGAUGGAGCGGGACCGAGUGGAAGUGGUCUAUUUAGAUGGCACGAAGUCCCGUGAGGGACUGGUUCAUCAAGUUCUGGAGGAUGUUCAAAACAGACUGCUUAACACAUCCUAGCAAGAUGCGGGCCCUGUGUGCGAUCGCAGACCCAGGACAGCAGGGCCUGAGAUUUUUAGGCUGGACGCAGUGGCUCUGGCCUAUCGGGAACCUGUACGUGGGAGCCCAUGUCCCCACACACAUGCAGUGGGCAUGGACACCUUGAGACUUUAUAGCACCUCAGUAUUAAAGUGGACUCUGUUU